rnacentral:rRNA from 1 species
AUACGUAGGGUGCGAGCGUUGUCCGGAAUUACUGGGCGUAAAGAGCUCGUAGGUGGUUUGUCGCGCCGUCUGUGAAAUUCCGGGGCUUAACUCCGGGCGUGCAGGCGAUACGGGCAUAACUUGAGUACUGUAGGGGAGACUGGAAUUCCUGGUGUAGCGGUGAAAUGCGCAGAUAUCAGGAGGAACACCGGUGGCGAAGGGGGGUCUCUGGGCAGUAACUGACGCUGAGGAGCGAAAGCAUGGGUAGCGAACAGGAUUAGAUACCCUGGUAGUCCAUGCCGUAAACGGUGGGCGCUAGGUGUAGGGGUCUUCCACGACUUCUGUGCCGUAGCUAACGCAUUAAGCGCCCCGCCUGGGGAGUACGGCCGCAAGGCUAAAACUCAAAUGAAUUGACGGGG